rnacentral:rRNA from 1 species
GACGAACGCUGGCGGCGUGCUUAACACAUGCAAGUCGAACGGAAAGGCCCUGCUUUUGUGGGGUGCUCGAGUGGCGAACGGGUGAGUAACACGUGAGUAACCUGCCCUUGACUUUGGGAUAACUUCAGGAAAUUGGGGCUAAUACCGGAUAGGAGCUCCUGCUGCAUGGUGGGGGUUGGAAAGUUUCGGCGGUUGGGGAUGGACUCGCGGCUUAUCAGCUUGUUGGUGGGGUAGUGGCCUACCAAGGCUUUGACGGGUAGCCGGCCUGAGAGGGUGACCGGCCACAUUGGGACUGAGAUACGGCCCAGACUCCUACGGGAGGCAGCAGUGAGGAAUAUUGCACAAUGGGCGGAAGCCUGAUGCAGCAACGCCGCGUGCGGGAUGACGGCCUUCGGGUUGUAAACCGCUUUCGCCUGUGACGAAGCGUGAGUGACGGUAAUGGGUAAAGAAGCACCGGCUAACUACGUG